CCCAUUUGAAAUAACAACCCUAAGAUUCCCUCUCCCAAAUAUGAUCCUCAGGCUACACCCUGGUCCAGAUAUAAAGCCCUCUUGGGAAUCCUGAGCGUACACCCCUCCAGGAACUGCAGACUUGCAUGUUCAGCGGUACAUGUGACAUGGGAACACGCACACACACACACUUCUGGAACAUCUCAGAAUCACCCAGUCCAAAUUCUAACCUGUAAGCUUCCUCAGCAACCCGCUCCUUCCGCCCAACAUCUCCACUUCCAUUCUCCCAGAUGCUCAGCAAAACAAAAAAGAAAGAAUGAAAAAGAAACAAACAAAAAACAUUCAGGGUAGUCCUUCACUCCCUACUUUCGGUCACAGCAUCCCCGAGGGCUCUAUCCUUAAGCUCUAUCUGGAAUCCCUCCCCUACUGCCAUCACUCUGGUCUGGACGCCAUUAUAACUCUCCUGGAGUUUAAUUGCAGCAGCCUCUUCAUGGGUCUCCCUCCAACCCCCAGUCUCCCCUGAGCCAUCUUUGGGAAACUUAAAAUCCUAACCUAGAUUGUGUCCCUGUUCUGUUCACAACUCCCCAUGGCUAGUAACGCCCUAGGAAUGAAGGUCCAGCUCUUCAGGUUGCCAUUCCACGUAUGGCUCCUCCCCUCACGCUCCAUUCCUUGCAGGCGCCACACAGAUCCUAGGUUUCCCCCAUGCUCCCGACUCAGUCGCACAUCCAAGCCUUUGCACUUGCUGGUCCCUCUGCCUGCAACUCUCCCAUAUCUUCUCACUGGCUGUCAGAAACAGGGACCCCACUCACGAGUACCCCACUGUCCUGGACACAGCCGCCUGGGCUUCAGUGACCUGAGCAGGCGCCCUCAUUCGGGGCUUUAGGAUUCGGAGGUGGGGGUCGGGUCGCGUGACGACGGGGGAUGGCAGCACCCACCUGCGCCGGGUCCAACAGCGCAGCCGCCGCCCUCUGAGCCCGUGGGCGGAGCGAGCGGCGGGGAAUAAGGGAGGGGGCGGGGAGACACCGAGUGGCGACGCUGCAGAGCCUCGAAGUUGCCUCUGUGCGAUGAGGACAAGGCUUUCUCUCCCGUCACGUCGGAUAUGAGACAGCGCUCCAGAGCCUCUGAUCCGGUGCACCAACCCAAGAACAGAUAAGAUAACCGCCAGGAACACAACGCCAGAAGUCCCGCCCUUGAGUGGCGCGUAAUGCACGGACCGUCCCUCUCCAGUUCUUCAUUGGCCCAGUGACACUUAUGCUUACGGUGGAGACCCUUCUGGUUUUAUAGCCAUGACUCGACCCAAGAUUGGACUUCACUUCCAGAACCCUGUUGUCACUGCACAGGGAACUAAUGGCACCUUGCAAAUCCUUUGAAUGACUCUCUUGUUCGUGAAUUUGGGAAUGCUUUGGUGAAUUCAAUUCUUAAAGCAGUGCUCUGGGCCUCAUCUCUGUUACAGCAUGGCAUGCCUCUCACCGAUGCCUUAUCUCUAAGAUUCUCCAACAGCUGUCAGCCGACAACAUGCUCAACAUGUAAUAUAGCUAAUCCUUCAAAGCCAACAAGAAUGUGAAGGCCGGUGCAACCUUGAAAACUACUUUGACCAACCUUAACCGCACAAUGACUCUUACUCUGUCCAUAAUAGUGUUUAAGGACAGAUUUUCCCUAUCUUAAACAAAGCAGAGACUGACCAAGUGCUCAUAAUUACCCGUAACAUGCCCACUAAUUUAGCUUGACAAAUUUUAGUCAGGCUUCUCUCCUCCUGAUAGGUUCCUGAACUUUGGCUCAUCCCCAGGCUUAAGCAAGCUCUAAGAUACACACACUCCACCCCACCCCCCCUUAACAGCUCAUUCUGAGAACAGGCUAACUACAGAGAGAAACAUUACCUGUUCCCAUCAUGCUCUCUGCUCAGUCCCACCACUUGCCCCCUCAUACAAAUUUCCUGCUAUCCCUGAUUACCCUUCCCUAUAAAAGAAUACCUUUUUCUGUUCGAUUUUGAGACAUUUGCAGAACUUGUAGUCAGAGCGUUCUCCCUAUUGUAAUUGUCUUUUCGAAUAAAGUUUCUUCUUACAUAAGUCUGGAUUUGUUUUUAUUUGACAGUAGAAAUGAACAGGAAUUCUGUG
rnacentral:lncRNA from 1 species